rnacentral:rRNA from 2 species
CAUGUCUUUUUGAAAUAAAUUUAAAGUCUAACCUGCCCACUGAUAAAAAUUAAAGGGCCGCAGUAUUUUGACUGUGCGAAGGUAGCAUAAUCAUUAGUCUUUUAAUUGGAGGCUUGUAUGAAUGGUUGAAUGAGAUAUAUACUGUCUUUUUUAAAAUUAUAUAGAAUUUUAUUUUUUAAUCAAAAAGUUAAAAUAAAAUUAAAGGACGAGAAGACCCUAUAGAUCUUUAUUUUUGUUAUUUAUAAAUUAAAAAGAAUUUUAAAAUUUAUAAUUUAAUAAAAAAUUUUAUUGGGGUGAUAUUAAAAUUUAAAAAACUUUUAAAAUUUAUUAACAUUAAUAUAUGAAUAAAUGAUCCAGUUUUAUUGAUUAAAAAAUUAAGUUACCUUAGGGAUAACAGCGUAAUUUUUUUUUAGAGUUCAUAUCGACAAAAAAGAUUGCGACCUCGAUGUUGGAUUAAGAGUUAUUUUUAGGUGUAGAAGUUUAAAGUUUAGGUCUGUUCGACCUUUGAAUUCUUACAUGAUCUGAGUUCAAAACCGGAA